CCUANGGGUGGCAGCAGUGAGGAAUAUUGCGCAAUGGACGAAAGUCUGACGCAGCGACGCCGCGUGGAGGAUGAAGGUCUUCGGAUCGUAAACUCCUGUUAAGUGGGAAGAAAUACCAACUAUGUUGGGGAUGACGGUACCACUAGAGAAAGCACCGGCUAACUUCGUGCCAGCAGCCGCGGUAAGACGAGGGGUGCAAACGUUAUUCGGAAUCACUGGGCGUAAAGGGUGCGUAGACGGCUUAUUAAGCUCGUUGUUAAAUUCUCCGGCUCAACCGGAGGCUUGCGAUGGGAACUGAUAGGCUAGAGGAUGGAAGAGAGAAGUGGAAUUCCCGGAGUAGCGGUAAAAUGCGUAGAUCUCGGGAGGAACACCGAUGGCGAAGGCAGCUUCUUGGUCCAUUUCUGACGUUGAGGCACGAAAGCGUGGGUAGCAAACAGGAUUAGAUACCCGUNUANUC
rnacentral:rRNA from 1 species